rnacentral:lncRNA from 1 species
ACACAGGCUAUUGAGGACCAACCCGGUACUAAUAUAUGUGAUCAUCAUCCCCAUACUGUAUUUGAUACAACAUGAGAGGUUAUGUGUACGUACCGUGAUGCUAAUAAUUUUAAGAAGAAGUCUGAACAGAUGAAGAAGAAUCGUUCCAAGCUCCGAGUAGUACAUACUACUGGCUCGCAGUCAUUUGAGGAGUUGAAGUUGGUAUGUAUGUGUGUUUAGUUGUUUAGUUUAAUAUUUCCAUAAGCAUACUAAAUAAAUGUAUAUUAAUGUAUUUAUUAGGUUGUGCUAACUUGGGCUGACCUCCCAC